AAUUGGAAACAAUGAAGUAGAAGGUGAAUUGCCUGGUACCUUGUUUUCAAAUCUUUCUCUAAUGGAGUAUAUAGUUCUAAGUUGGAAUCGAUUCGAAGGCGAAAUUCCUGAUGUUUUGUGGUCAUUGUCCCACUCGAGGAUUCUAGAUAUAUCAGGGAACAACUUCACUGGUGUAGUUUCAAAUUUUACCUAUUUUUGUGUCAGUGGUGCUUCAUAUAACCUUUCAAAUAAUCUCUUCUUUGGAAAUAUGAUGAGGAUUCUUGAUAUAUCAGGGAACAACUUCACUGGUGUAGUUUCAAAUUUUACCUAUUUUUGUGUCAGUGGUGCUUCAUAUAACCUUUCAAAUAAUCUCUUCUUUGGAAAUAUGACGUUUGAUAAUCGGAAUUUUCAAUCAAUUGAUCUGUCAAACAACUAUUUUCAAGGUCUAGCACCAAAUAAUUCUGCCAUUCAAGUUAUGAGUAAUUGCUUUACAAGGU
rnacentral:lncRNA from 1 species